rnacentral:rRNA from 2 species
UCCGGUGGCCAGGCGGCAGGAUUCCACCCGUUCCCAUCCCGAACACGGUCGUAAAGACUGCUUGCGCUGACAAUACUCGGAGGGUAGCCUCCCGGGAAGAUAAGUAGCUGCCGGAU